UACAGAGGGGGCAAGCGUUGUUCGGAAUUACUGGGCGUAAAGGGCGCGUAGGCGGCGUGCUAAGUCGAACGCGAAAUCCCCGGGCUCAACCCGGGAACUGCGUCCGAGACUGGCAGGCUUGAAUCCGGGAGAGGGAUGUGGAAUUCCAGGUGUAGCGGUGAAAUGCGUAGAUAUCUGGAGGAACACCGGUGGCGAAGGCGGCAUCCUGGACCAACACUGACACUGAUGAGCGAAAGCCAGGGGAGCAAACGGG
rnacentral:rRNA from 1 species